rnacentral:rRNA from 1 species
UUCCAGACUCCUACGGGAGGCAGCAGUGGGGAAUAUUGCACAAUGGGGGAAACCCUGAUGCAGCGACGCCGCGUGAGCGAUGAAGUAUUUCGGUAUGUAAAGCUCUAUCAGCAGGGAAGAAAAUGACGGUGCCUGACUAAGAAGCCCCGGCUAACUACGUGCCAGCAGCCGCGGUAAUACGUAGGGGGCAAGCGUUAUCCGGAUUUACUGGGUGUAAAGGGAGCGUAGACGGCGGUGCAAGCCAGAUGUGAAAGCCCGGGGCUCAACCCCGGGACUGCAUUUGGAACUGUGCUGCUAGAGUGUCGGAGAGGCAGGCGGAAUUCCUAGUGUAGCGGUGAAAUGCGUAGAUAUCAGGAGGAACACCGGCGGCGAAGGCGGCCUGCUGGACCGUAACUGACGUUGAGGCUCGAAAGCGUGGGGAGCAAACAGGAUUAGAUACCCCCGUA